AUCAAAGGGAAGAAAGGACAGCCCCAACACCCGGAGCCACUGUGGCUCCGGCCGGUUGCGCUGGCCCUCGGGCCCUCAGGGAGGCGAGGGUGCGAGGGAUAAAAAAAUAAAAAGAGUCGGAACAGCUCCCUGAGGAAAAAAAAAAAAAAAAAAAAAAGACUUGCAUUGUUGCCUAAUGUGUGGUCUACAAUUGAGACUGAUUCAUGUGCUGAGGAGAAGAAUGUGUAUUCUGCCGUCACUGGAUGAGAUGUUUUGCAGAGGAGUCCCUCCCUGUGUCCACCACCAUCACAAGCCCAGGGCAAGUACUGCUAGAGGGCUGCCUAUGAUCAGAUCUUCUGAGAACAUCAGAGAAAGACUGUCCUUGCAAUCUACACUACAGCAAGACUUCAGGACCUUGAACUUCAGGUUCAUAAUCUCACAACUGAGAAGGAUCCUUCCACACUCUUGGAACAGUGCACCCAUUGGAACUCUGAAGGUUAAGCUCACCAGGAAAGUUUCUCUCCAGAAGAAGAUAACACCCUUAAUGUGAACAGCUUUUCCCAAAAUCACGGAUUGAAACUUCUCUACACUCACGAGACUCUUAUCUUUGAAUAUUUUCCCUUGGUUAUGCUUCUGUGAACAAUAGACGUGAAAAGGGAGUCUGUUGUGUGCACUUAUGGGGCACACUUUUAUGUGUGAAGGAUUUUUCAGCCAGCCUUAUAUAUGGAUGACCUUAUAGUUUAAGAGAUAAAAGACAAAGACCCAAUGCAGUGUAUUUUUUAUUCUGUGUUCAAAGAUCACCAAUGAGAUUCCCAGUUGCCAAAUCCAAUCUUUAGUUUUCAUCUUAGUUCCUCUGAGCAACAUCUGAAAAAGGUGUCAUUAUAAGAGAGAGUCAGAGGAAGACUUCACUACAAUAAAUAAAUAAAUAAGAUGUGAUGCUGGAACCAAAGGUUGAUAUGACAUGCUUUGAAGGUAGUGGAAGAACACCUGGGCCAAGAAAUGCAGGUGGUCUUUUGAGGCUGGAAAGACAAGGAAAUAGAUUCUUCCCUGAACUCUCCAGAAGGAAUGCAAACCUACCAACGUCAUAAUUUUUGACUUACAAACCCCGGAAAUGAAAAAGAAUCAAUUUAUGUUGUUUGGAGUAAGCUAUGUGAUAGGCAACCUUGAAAUGGCCCCAGAUAAUCCCUGCCUCCAGACUAACAAAAUGAUAUUUGUGUCCAGAACCAGUUAAAGAGCUGUGGCAGUUCUAAGAACUUCCACCAAGAUAAAGCAUAUUCUGAAAGCUGGUUGCCAGAGAAACCAAUCAGCGAUAAAAGAAUUGGGACUUUCAGCUUCACCUUCUCUACCUCUGGGGAGGAAAGAAAGGGCAGAUAUUGAGCUCAAUCUCCAGUGGCUACUGGUUUAAUCAAUAAUGCUUACAUACUGAAGCUUCCUUAAAAACCCUAAAUGAAGGAGUUCAGAAAACCCCAGGUUCACCACAAUGAUGAAGACAUUCAUGUGCCUAGAGAGUAGCCCACCCUAACUCAGUGGGGCAGAAACUCCUGUGGUCAGAACCCUUCU
rnacentral:lncRNA from 1 species